GACGAACGCUGGCGGCGUGCUUAACACAUGCAAGUCGAACGCUGAAGCUUGGUGCUUGCACUGGGUGGAUGAGUGGCACACGUGUGAGAAAUAAGUGAGUAACCUGCCCUUCACUCUGGUAUAAGCCUGGGAAACUGGGUCUAAUCCUGUAUACGACACUUCACCGCAUGGUGGUGUGUGGAAAUUGUUUUACUGGUUUUGGAUGGGCUCACGGCCUAUCAGCUUGUUGGUGGGGUAAUGGCUCACCAAGGCGCCGACGGGUAGCCGGCCUGAGAGGGUGACCGGCCACACUGGGACUGAGACACGGCCCAGACUCCUACGGGAGGCAGCAGUGGGGAAUAUUGCACAAUGGGCGGAAGCCUGAUGCAGCGACGCCGCGUGAGGGAUGACGGCCUUCGGGUUGUAAACCUCUUUCAGCACGGAAGAAGCGAAAGUGACGGUAAGUGCAGAAGAAGCGCCGGCUAACUACGUG
rnacentral:rRNA from 1 species